UCUCUCUCUACUCUCAACUCUUUCUCGAUUUACUCUCUCGAGAACAAACCUGAAGGACGAAGUGAAGGAUAAAUUUAAGAUUUGGUAUUUGAAUACACAUGUCUUUGGCUCCAAUUAGUAGGCUUUUACCGAUUUUGUUUUAAUUUUGCAGGUGAUUAGGGCUUCAGAUCGGGGCUUUUACUCUUUCACUCAGGUUAAUUGGUAAAUAUAUAGGAGUGCAUAUUUGUUAUUGUUACAAUUGAUUGGGGUUUUGUUUUGAUAUACGCAUUUGCUCUGUUAAUUAAGCUUUUGUUCUUACACACGUUUAGGGCUUUGAAAUUGGGGGUUCAUGAAAUACAUUAAGGCGACCUGGGGGCUGGGUGCAUAAAAUUGAGUUGUACUGGGCACUCUUAUACAUAUGGGUGCAUGACUGUUCUAUUUGCUUCCUUUUCUAUAUUUUGAUGUCUCCCCUGCUAUAUACCUUCUCCUGUUUCUAUCCGUAUAUGCAUAGAAAAAUAGGCCUUGUUUAGUAACUUAUAUAUCAUAUUUGGACCAAUGAUCACCUUCUUAAAUUAUAAUACUGUAGUUUAAUUUUUUAGUGGUGACUGAAUAUUGGCUUGCGUUAAGAAAAUAAAAAUAAUUAAACAUUGACAGAAAAUUAAAAUAAUUCCAGACCUUGAAAUUGAGCAUUGUUGGUGAAGGUUUUAUGCAUUUCUGCAUCUCCCUUUAAGUUGACUCUAGUAUGUAGUAAGUACAUCUUGUUUAGUCUAAUACUUUUACUUAACUACUUGUUAUAAGUUAGUAUUAUCCUGCUGGUUGAUCAUGUAGGGUUCUAGUGAUCUGAAAUGUUA
rnacentral:lncRNA from 1 species